rnacentral:rRNA from 1 species
AGUUCGAUCAUGGCUCAGAGAUUGAACGCUGGCGGGAUGCUUUACAUGCAGUCGAACGGCAGCACGGACUUGCGUCUGGUGGCGAGUGGCGAACGGGUGAGUAAUGUAUCGGAACGUGCCUAGUAGCGGGGAUAACUACGCGAAAGCGUAGCUAAUACCGCAUACGCCCUUCGGGGAAAGCGGGGGACCUUCGGGCCUCGCACUAUUAAACGGCCGAUAUCAGGGAUUGGCUAGUUGGUGGGGUAACGGCUCGCAAGGCGACGAUCAUGGCUGGUUUGAAGGACGACCAGCCACACUGGGACUGAGACACGGCCCAGACUCCUGCGGGAGGCAGCGGUGGGGGAAUUUUGGACAAUGGGGAAACCUGGUCCAGCCAUCCGCGUGUGCGAUGAAGGCCUUCGGGUUAUGCGCCCACUUUUGGCAGGAAAGAAACGGCACGGGAUAAUACCCGUGCAACUGACAACCUGCAGAAUAAGCACCAAUAGCUUUACGGUACCAGCAACCGCGUGUGUAGGAGUGCAAGCGUUAAUCGGAAUUACUGGGCGUAAAGCGUGCGCAGGCGGUUCGGAAAGAAGAUGUAGAGAAAUCCCAGAGCGCAACUUUGGAACUGCAUUUUUUAACUACCGAGCUAGAGUGUGUCAGAGGUGGAAUUCCGUAUGUAGCAGUGAAAUGCGUAGAUAUGCGGAGAACACCGAUGGCGAAGGCAGCCUCCUGGGAUAACGCGGCGCUCAUGCACGAAAGCGUGGGAGCAAACGGGAUUAGAUACCCUGGUAGUCCACGCCCUAAACGAUGUCAACUGGCUGUUGGGGCCUUCGGGCCUGGUAGCUGUGCGCCGUGAAAGUUGACCGCCUGGGAAAUACGGUCGCAAGAUUAAAACUCAAAGGAAUUGACGGGGACCCGCACAAGCAGUGGAUGAUCAUGGAUUAAUUCGAUGCAACGCGAAAAGUACCACCCUUGACAUGUCUGGUCCGGUCCCGGUGCUCGCAAGAGAACCGGAACACAGGUGCUGCAUGGCUGUCGUCAGCUCGUGUCGUGAGAUGUUGGGUUAAGUCCAACAAGCACGCGCGUUGUCAUUAGAUUGCUGAAAGGGCACUCUAAUGAGACUGCCGGUGACAAACCGGAGGAAGGUGGGGAUGACGUCAAGUCCUCAUGGCCCUUAUGGGUAGGGCUUCACACGUCAUACAAUGGAUCGGGACAGAGGGGUCGCCAACCCGCGAGGAGCGUCCAGAAACCCGAUCGUAGUCCGGAUCGCAGUCUGCAACUCGACUGCGUGAAGUCAGAAUCGCUAGUAAUCGCGGAUCAGCAUGUCGCGGUGAAUACGUUCCCGGGUCUUGUACACACCGCCUGUCACACCAUGGGAGUGGGUUUUACCAAGUUAGCCUAACCGUAAGGAGGGCGAUUACGGUAGGAUUCAUGACUGGGGUGAAGUCGUAACAAGGUAG